rnacentral:snoRNA from 1 species
UCAGCAACUUAGCAAGACCCUGUCUUAAAAUUAAAACAUAAAAUGUACUUGCAAGUAUAGGUAGUAUGCUACAUGAGGGGUAUUUUUUGCUAAUACUCCAUUCUGACCCAAUGAGUGGAGUUUGAUAGUAAUCCUUGCUACAAGU